UGAGGCUUCCCCAGCACCUGCCAAGAAAGUCUGUGCCACCUCUGGACUUGUUGGGGCUUCACCAGUGGAACCAUCAAGAGAGCUCAUCCAGAGAUUUAAUCUCCGCAAGCUCACGGUUCCACUGGUUCGCCUGGACCUGAAACGCCAUCCUGAGCUCAUGGUUCGCCUCGCUCCAGUCGACCCUGAAGCUGCUUGCAGGGCCCUUGGACAGAGCAACAGCUGCUCAUCUUCUCAGCAGCACAGCCCAGCCUGCCACCCAUCAGCUCCUUGGUGCCAGAAGCGCAGUGCUGCCUCACCUGAGGAUUCAGAGCUGCCUCCAGGCCCUUCCAGGACAAGUCCAGAUCCUCAAGGGCGUGAAGCUUCCCCAGCACGUGCCAAGAAAGUGUUUGCUACAUCUGGACUUGGGGUUUCAUCAGCCCGGCCAGGCACACACAAAUUUCAAUUCCAGCCAGAGCUCAUGACUCCACCAUUUCCUGCGCACCAUCAAAGCACUUCUGCGGCCUCUCCAGAGAGCAGCAGCUGCACUUCUCCAGAGCAGCACUUGCCAGCCAACAUCCCAUCAGGUACGGAAUGUGUUUCUCCCCUGGCUUUUCAGAAAGAUCACAAAAAGUGACUGAAGUAUUUUGCCGCGGUGCUCUGUCAUGUGUCCAUUUGAUUGUGACAAUCAGGUGUCAAGGGUACUAGGAAGCAGGAUCAUGAAUAUCCGAACAAUCUCUGUCUGCUUUUCCCAUCCUUGCUGCAGAUUUGGAGGAUGUUCUGGCCAUUUUCCAGGCAGCCUCUGUGUAGUGGUCAAAGGGUGAGGCAAAGAACAUUUCUCCACAACUGGUCAGAGUCAGGUGAACUCCCAUUUUUCUUUGGAUGAAGCCAAACUAGGACUCUGAUGGGAUAUUGCAGAGUUUACAGAUUGUCUUUUGUUGAGAUGGAAUACAAGGGAUGGGACCACCGUGCUUUGAGAUGAUUUAUUGCUUAAGUAGCCAAAUAAGAGAUCAGUCCCGAGGCGUGAGAUUUACAGGCAACAAGUCAACCACAGCUCGAGGAAGUUAUGAGUUUCUUCUCCGCAUGGCAAUAUAUAACUUUUUAGUCCAGUAGACAGUUGACACCAAGUUUGUUUUCACUUAUUAAGCUCUUAUCACCUUUACUUGAUUUUGCCACCCUGCGUCUGUCUUUUAACCAA
rnacentral:lncRNA from 1 species